UGAAUUCGCGUAAGGCUUUAGCCAUCUGGUGGUUUUUGUAAAAAUUUGGCUGCGAAUAUUUUUAUGGCAUUUUCUGGUCGACCAGUAAUCGCGGCGUUAAAAGCAAUUAUCUAGUUUCUGAUUUUUAUUCUUACAGUUUGCACGUUUAAUUAAGUACUCAGUGUUCUUUUGACCCAGUCUGAGGUUGAUACGAGGGCUUCAGAUGUGUUCAAUUGGGCUUGUUAUGGGGACGGUUUGAUAUUACGCUGUACGGUUGAUAUCGAGGCUUCAGAUGUGUUCAAUUGGGCUUGUUAUGGGACGGUUUGAUACUACGCGUCAGUGUUUGUUAGUGUCGAAGUUUUUUUUUUAAGAGUUUCCGACAUCCGGACCAUCACCACAACCCCCGAACCUGUGGGGCGGAGUUACCUAAUAUCGUCUUAAUUGGCGAGAUUUGUUGUAAAGUUUCAGUGUUGUGAGGUGGUUGUGAAAUCGGUACCUUGGUCUAGAAAAGUGAGUAAACAAGAUAAGAUUAUUUUGCAAAUAUGAAGUUUAUUUAUUCUUUAAAUAAACUGUAAAUAUGACGAAGUAAGAUAUGCAGGAAGUUUAUCUACUAUAUUAUGAAAUAAUAAGUUCUUAAUUGGACUGCGUCUGUUACAUUUUAACUUGUUUUAAAAUUACUACGUCUGGGAAGUUUUUCUGUACGGUAGUAUGAAGAUGAUAUCUCAACCCACAGACCCUGUGCCACGUGUGGCCCACAUACAUGUUUUAAUACUUUUCAUUCUGUUUUUGAUGAAAAUUGUUAGCAGCGAUCAGAAAACAAGAUUUGUGAUUUUUGUCAGUAUUUGACAGUAACUGUUACUGUAAACAAGACAUCUACGCAUUAGGCUUUGCAGUUUUGUUCUCUGCGUGAGUCUUACGUAAUUUUCCAUCUUC